rnacentral:rRNA from 1 species
UUAAAACUAGUAACAUGAAGCAGCCCUUCUCCCUAAUGCAAGCAAAUACCAAAAUGGACUAACCAUUGGUUCUUAACGUCCAUGAGCUCAACCUAGCAACACUCCCUUCGAAAACCCUAUGCCCAAAUUACGUUAACCUUACACUAGAGCAUUCCUGGAAAGAUAAAAAGAAAAAGAAGGAACUCGGCAAACUAAAAUCCCGCCUGUUUACCAAAAACAUCGCCUCUUGACACAUACUCCCUCCUAUAAGAGGUCCAGCCUGCCCAGUGAAAUUUUAACGGCCGCGGUACUCUGACCGUGCGAAGGUAGCAUAAUCACUUGUUCUUUAAAUGAGGACUAGUAUCAACGGCAUCACGAGGAUUUUACUGUCUCCUUUUUCCUAUCGGUGAAACUGAUCUCCCCGUGAAGAAGCGGGGAUAAUAUUAUAAGACGAGAAGACCCCAUGGAGCUUUAAACCCAGUAACACCUCAAACACACCCCCUCCCAAAAAGUUUUAAUGUUCUGUUCACUGGUUUUAGGUUGGGGCGACCGCGGAGUACAACUUAACCUCCACAGCGCACGGAACUUAUUCCUUACCUGAGAGCUACACCUCAAAGAAUUAUCACAUUAACGUAAAAUGAUCCAAUAUUUUCCUUAUUGAUUAAUGAACCAAGUUACCCUGGGGAUAACAGCGCAAUCCAUUUCU